CCUACAUCUUUUCUUGUUCGGCAAGCUUUUUUUCUGUCCGAGAAGCCAGAAAAGACUAUCAACUUCCAUUCCAGACUGUAACAUCACGGAAAUCGGACCUGUUUAAAAUCCCUUGCUUUAAACUGCAACAUAUGUUGUAAAGUGUCUAUUGAUUUGCCCAGAAGAAAAAGAUGAACAUGGCACUGAGGAUCCUUCAAUGAAAUUCUUUUACUGUCCCUUCCCAUCAUGCACUAUAGAGAGUGAUUCGACUGAAUGGCGAACCAUGAAGCAGAACGUUGCCAUUUCAUACGUGACCUCCAGGGAUGUUGGGUAGGAGGAUGUAACUAAUUGGGAUGUGGGUUGCCGUGUGGCCCACAAGGGAUCAGCAAGCAUCUGUGAGUGUCGUUUCAUCACCGUUAUCAGUCUUCCCAACGGAUCCGGAGUCGCCUUUCUGUGAACUGCUUCUGGGUCACAUUCAGCCAAGCCACAUAAAAGUUGCACAUUGGAUUGUUGAUGUUCAACACCAUUCUCCAGAAGAAGAAAAAAAAAAAACUUUACAAACUUGCUGAAGAUAUCAAACUAUUCUGUAUGUCCUUGCCGCAUUGUCCUGACAAUGUCACUUGAAUUUGCUACAUACUGUACAAAAGACACUUUAAAUAUUGGUAAAAAAAAAUGAAUAGUUCUUCAGCUACAAUUCCUAAAUUCACCAUGAGGGAUGUUAUAAUGAAACA